rnacentral:rRNA from 1 species
ACGAACGCUGGCGGCGUGCCUAAUCCAUGCAAGUAGAACGCUGAAGGCGGAGCUUGCUUCUCUGGAUGAGUUGCGAACGGGUGAGUAACGCGUAGGUAACCUGCCUGGUAGCGGGGGAUAACUAUUGGAAACGAUAGCUAAUACCGCAUAAUAGUAGAUGUUGCAUGACAUUUGCUUAAAAGGUGCAAUUGCAUCACUACCAGAUGGACCUGCGUUGUAUUAGCUAGUUGGUGGGGUAACGGCUCACCAAGGCGACGAUACAUAGCCGACCUGAGAGGGUGAUCGGCCACACUGGGACUGAGACACGGCCCAGACUCCUACGGGAGGCAGCAGUAGGGAAUCUUCGGCAAUGGACGGAAGUCUGACCGAGCAACGCCGCGUGAGUGAAGAAGGUUUUCGGAUCGUAAAGCUCUGUUGUAAGAGAAGAACGAGUGUGAGAGUGGAAAGUUCACACUGUGACGGUAUCUUACCAGAAAGGGACGGCUAACUACGUG